UCUUUAGCUGUUGUUUUGGUGCCGGGCUAGGCCUUCAUUACUGUCGUUGUGCUCCUCACGCUCACUGCAUGCAACUCAUUACACUGCUCAAAAUUAUCAUUUUGGCUCUGUAUUUAUUCUAAUUGAACGUGCACAUUGUGUCCAAUUUAUAUUGUAUUAACAAAUACAUCGUUACCAUUUACUCCGAUCAACACCAAGAGGGGCAAUGUCUUCAAGAGUAGAAAGAGGCCCAGUGUUUUCGUAACCCUGUUCACUUAGGAAAAAGUUGCAGCUUUCAUCAAAGAAACUGAUGAUCUAAAAGUUGAGACUGCAUGGAUGAGCUAGGCUGCUUUGUCUGGACGAAAAUCAACCCUCCAAGGCUCCAACAGCCUCAUCACACAGAAACUCGAGGAACCGGAAGCAG